AUAAGCUCAUUUCUUUAGGGCACUCAGCGUGAGGGAUGCCGGCGGCAACGAAGCGUCAAAGGGCUCCACGCCGGAGGGACUGAGAACCACCAUGCGUACCUCAUGGGCUACCUCGGCGGCGCGGCUUGAUCUAGCCCACAAAAAGUGUGCGCCCGCUUCCAAUACAGGGGCGAAUGAGGCGGCGAGGAUCUCUCCCCUACCUCAAUGUCUCCCGGUUUCUAUCACGCUAGAGACAGCUUCAGCUCCUCAAUUUGGUCAGUUCAUCGUUGGCCUCGAUAAGCUUCGCCGCCUCAACAGCACAGCCUCCAGGCUCCAGCGUGGUGGCCCUGUCCCCCUCGCCUGAUCUUCCUAGGCUGCAUCGACAUGAUCUCGCCGUAGUCGCCGUCGCUUGAGGGUAUGGGGUUACCUCAACUGUAGUGGUCGUGCCAUCGCCUCUAUCUCAGACCAGGACGAAGUCGCUGCUGACCCCAAACUCCCUUCCCCCCUUCCCCGAUCUCCCCUUCCGAGAGCGCCCCCUGGCCGAGAUCCUCCGUACCCGGCGGCUGCUGUUGCCGAGGCUCUCCAGCCGUCCCACGCUCUGGCUUCUCCCCCACAUAUUCUCAUCAGGACGGCGAGCCUCGACUCCGCGGGUUGGUUCCCCGUGUGGGCGCUGGACGACCAGCAGCGCUGCCGUCUGCUCUGAUUCUUGGGGCGCGGCAUCCUGUGGAAACCGCCAGCACCACCCGGACGACAGUCAGGACGCGCACAGCGCUGUCGGCAAGGUGGAGUGCGAAUGACCGUGCCACCAAAGGAGUCCUGGAGCAGGAGCAGUGGAGGGCCAGGAUGCUGCAACAGCGGCAUGUGAUAUUAUUGCUAUCUCGAGUAGCAACAUGUUAUCUAAAUAAUUUAGCAGGUAGAAGCUUCGGCUUUGUUGAAAAAGAAGCUUCGGCUUUGUGUUUUCAACUACAACGUAAAACUUACAGAAGAUAGGCUCGGUUGCGGGUUUAGCAGUCGGCAUGUCCACAUGCUCAGCCUUCCAUUGUUAUGGAUGCUUGAAGGCGUGAUAUUUGUCUCAACAGGGUCCAGUUGGAUAUGAGGAUAAGAAUGCCGUGUUUCUUCUUCUUUCCUUUUUUUUUCUUUUUUCAUACUUCUUUAUUUGUUUCAGUUAGACAUACUGAAUAUCUUUCUUUCAUUUGUAGGUAAUACUGGUUUUCGUGGCUCUACUGGACCGUCUUUGGCUGUGCUAGCCACCUUUGUUUUCAGAGUGUUCUUGAUCAGUCCAGGUGCUAUAUCAGAUAUCAAUUCUCCGACUGUGAUUAUCAUCCUCAGUUUCCAAGUUCAAUUUUGGCACUGGCUGUUAUUUCGCUCGCGUGAUUAUACGACGUGUCCCAUCCCAGUAGAUGUCCACAUGGUUAUACCGAUGAUGCUAUUGCAGUAGCAGAUUGGCAACUCCUGGUCAAGCUAAUUGGUCUCCUGCGCCAAGUCAGGAACCAUCUCCCUGUGCUCCGGUCAAGUAAUCCUCUGAAGGUGGUCAUGGUGUUCCUCUCUGCUGGAGCAUCCCAGCGUCAGUGGCUACUACCACUACCACCGGAAAUCGUGGCAACCGCGUCUAGCCAGACGGUCAUCGUUCAUCCCACCCUUCUUUUGCGCCUCAAUCGCAACUUCGCCCAGUGUCCACCGCUAUCCAGGAGAAGGGUCCAUUUAAUGGCGUAGAGGUUGAAGCAUCAGGGCGCAAUGGACACAACGUAGAUAAGCACCCUGUGCUUCAAAGGAAAUCUAAAUCGGUAUCUGAAGAUUGUAAAUGGAAAUAAGAAGUUCAGAGAAAGCCAAAGAUAGGGGCAAUCAUUGGACCAUUGUAGAGGUUUUUCAUUGCUUCAGUUUUCCUUAAAGGAACAUAAGUCCAAGAGAAGAUAUAUGUGCUGAAGGAAAGGCGACUAUUUACUUUCAGUACUUCGAGACCAACCCGGUAGUGAAAUAAUACAAGCUGGCCUACUUACAAAAAAUGUGAGCUGCGUUUCACAGCAUGGACGGGGCGAUGGAGGAUGGUUUAUGCAUACAAGCAGAGGUCUUUUAAGGACAUGAUCUCACCAUACUUCACGUCCUUGCAUUUCGCUAUGGGUUCGUCGGCCAAGCUCCACAACGUGGGGUUGUAUGAUGGUUCCAAUGGAUGUAAACUUUUUUCCUUGCGCCAUGGUAUGUCUACGUGAAAAGGGGGCAACUACCAACCAUGUGUAUUAUUGCUACUAAUUAACUGGGCACUUUUUGUGUGAAUGUAUCUUGUGCACAUCA